GUAGCUGUAGCUCAGUAGUAGAGUGCUUGCCUAGCAUGCAUGAGGCCCUAGGUUCAAAUCUCAGCACUACA
rnacentral:tRNA from 1 species